GAGAGAACCCCACCACGUGCAGUGACUCAUUGCUGUGUCGUCUCGAAGAAAUUUGAACUCUGGCAUCCAACAAAAUCUGCCAGCACGCGUGCCGAUAGAUUUUGUAGUUCUAUUGGUUGAUUUGGAGUUCUGUCUUGAAAGAAUCUUAGUUCAACUAGUUCUUGUAUUUAGAGAAACAUAAACCACAUAAUGUUUACAGUAUUACCAUAACCCCUUUUCUCACUGCCUUGACUUCAUGCACGACUUGGUUCGAGAGAAUCAUGGCAGCCCAUGGUCAAAGAUUUUCUUGACUCAACCGUAACUUACACAACAAUUGAGAGAUGGUGUAGGGUACAAUGUAGUGGCUGAUACAUGGACUUCACGUAUAGACGACUCAUCAUCCAUCACCUGAAAUGUGAAUUUUUCAAGGCCUACCAUCAGUUGAACACUGAUAAUCACGAAUUUUGACAGCCACAAUGAACGAUCCUUGACGGACGUUCAUCAGUUUGCCUUCAAAUUUGUUCGUUGAGAAAGUGCCAGCAUGCGAUACGGUGAUAAAAAGAAUCAAAUUCUGCAUAUACGACGAUGAUGAAUCGGUGGUCAUGAUCGUCCUUAGAUUGCCAAGGAUGGCAGCACUGCUGAUUUUAUCCGAACUGACGGCUUAAAAUUGAAUACGAUCCUCAUCAUCUUGCUGACAUCAAAUGUA